GAUGAACGCUAGCUACAGGCUUAACACAUGCAAGUCGCGGGGCAGCAUGGGGGUUGCUUGCCAUCCCCGAUGGCGACCGGCGCACGGGUGAGUAACGCGUAUCCAACCUGCCCUUCACCACGGGAUAACCCGGCGAAAGUCGGACUAAUACCGUAUGUUGUCCAUUGACGGCCUCCGAUUUGGACGAAAGGUUUGGCGGUGAAGGAUGGGGAUGCGUCCGAUUAGCUGGACGGCGGGGUGACGGCCCACCGUGGCGACGAUCGGUAGGGGUUCUGAGAGGAAGGUCCCCCACACUGGAACUGAGACACGGUCCAGACUCCUACGGGAGGCAGCAGUGAGGAAUAUUGGUCAAUGGGCGUAAGCCUGAACCAGCCAAGUAGCGUGCAGGAUGACGGCCCUAUGGGUUGUAAACUGCUUUUAUGCGGGGAUAAAGUGGCCCACGUGUGGGUUUUUGCAGGUACCGCAUGAAUAAGGACCGGCUAAUUCCGUG
rnacentral:rRNA from 1 species